rnacentral:rRNA from 1 species
UAGGGAAUCUUCGGCAAUGGGGGGAACCCUGACCGAGCAACGCCGCGUGAGUGAAGAAGGUUUUCGGAUCGUAAAGCUCUGUUGUUAAGGAAGAACGAGUGUGAGAAUGGAAAGUUCAUACUGUGACGGUACUUAACCAGAAAGGAACGGCUAACUACGUGCCAGCAGCCGCGGUAAUACGUAGGUCCCGAGCGUUGUCCGGAUUUAUUGGGCGUAAAGCGAGCGCAGGCGGUUAGAUAAGUCUGAAGUUAAAGGCAGUGGCUCAACCAUUGUAGGCUUUGGAAACUGUUUAACUUGAGUGCAGAAGGGGAGAGUGGAAUUCCAUGUGUAGCGGUGAAAUGCGUAGAUAUAUGGAGGAACACCGGUGGCGAAAGCGGCUCUCUGGUCUGUAACUGACGCUGAGGCUCGAAAGCGUGGGGAGCGAACAGG